ACUUGCCCCUGUCUUUCAGGUGCAUUGUGGUGUUUGCCUUUAAAGGUUGUGUUUAACACCACUUCUAUUCAAGCAUCUUCUCUCCACCACUUCAAGGCAAGUAUUCUUCCAGGUAUUUGACUGCAAACAAUGAAAAGGAAAAAUCUCAAUGGAGAUCUGUUCUUGAUGUGUUUUAUCUCUUUGAAGAUGCAUUUUUUCUAGAGUCUUUUGAUAUUUAGGUAUUUCCUCCCAAGCUUUCCCUUGGUAACUAAAAAAAUUCAUAAUGACGCUGAAUUAGUGACUUCAGAAUGCUUUCCUUGGCAACCUAAAUGGGCAUUUGACAUCAUGGGAUGAAGAAGCAGCAAAACCAGCUUGAAGAGGUUUGGUUGUUUGGGUUUGUUUUUUUUUUUUUUUGUAAUUUGUUUACCCCCUCACCUCUAGCAGUUCGCUCCUGCUGUUGUAAUCUUCUGAGAUGCUGAUACAAGGGUUAGUGGGGUUUCACUGUAAGCCUUAUCUCUAAAAUGUUCUGAGUAGCCAGUCCUCUUUAAUUUUUUGUGUAUUCAGACAAUCAUACCUCACCAACUUUUGUUUUGAACAGUAAAGGGGAGGCAAAUCAUAGGCUUUCCCUUGCAUGGGAAUGAGCAACUGAAGGAUGGGAAGAGCUUUUGGAGAGAUGUUGACUCUCAGUAAAAGCAGCACAAAGCUACGUGUUGUUUUUAUCAAGAGGCUUGAGAGUUUUGGCUGCAAAGAUAGUCUCAUCUUCCCACCUUGUCACACAUGCUUUGUUUUCUCUCUUGAUGUAAAUCUUGUUACUGCACUAGCUGUGUAAAAAAAAUCUGGAAAUCAGGUCUCCUUUAGCUGUUCUUUAUGUUUCCAAAUUAAUUUCCAUCUUGAGAGAGUAUCUUUCUUAAUCAUGCUUGAUAUUGUGUAAGGAGAUCAUGUUUCAUCAUGUAAGAUUUUGGUCCAGGUUUUGUUCUGACUGGGCUGGUACAAAUCUGGUGCAGUUUUUCCAGUGUUGGUGUGUCUUUUGUCGAAGAAGUUGGUUUGAGUAGCUAGGGGCAGAGUAUCAAUCACAGCCCAGAAAUACCAGCUUAAGGAAAAUAAGAGUGAACACUGAUGUAGGUUUUGUUGGAAUGACCAGGCUUCUAUUAUAAGAUAGGAAACUAAACAUAAGCUAUAAGCCAAGUAAAUACAAAGACUGUAGCAGCACAUUUCCAAGAAAAUUAUCUUGUUGCAGACGAACGUGGCCUGUGAAAGGGCCUUAUGGCAUCUGCACAUUCAAUACAGGCUCUAUCAGUAGCUAUCUUCGGUUACGAUAGUCCCAGUUGUUUUUAGAUUUCUGCAGUUAUUUUUUUGUAACUGUUUGGGGGAGUAGCAUAUAAAACAGGGCAGCAUGUAGAAAUCUAAAACUCCAGCCAAAAGACACCUCCUUUUUGUGUCUACGUGUUGCAGCUGUCUAUCUCUUGGCAGCAGGCAGCCUGUGUAGAAUGUGAAGUUUUAGCACUGAAACGUGGAAGAAAGAAUUAAGGGGUUCUGAACUUAAAAUGUGAUUUUAUAGAGAAUUUCAGUCCUCACCAUUGCUUAGUUAUGGAGACUGUAGGGUCAGUUUUUUUCCUUUCAGUAACUCCUUAUAUUCACUGUAUGAUAAACUGAGACAGGUUGCUAACUCUUCACUUUCCUCAGUUCUGUAGUUUAGUAAUCAAAUUAAUUGGAGCCAGUUGCAUGGAUACCCAGCUGGGAGGAAAGGCAAAAAAGAAUGCAUGCAUGUAUUUUGUUCUGGGUAGGAGAGAAGG